GCGGCGAGGAUGAUGAACUGUAUGAAAUAUGAAACAUUUGAGGCCAUGUAAUAAGGUAAGGACAUCACCCGAUAUCUAUAGCUUCGCUCAUCCUGUUGGAUUGUGAUUCUGGCUGUCUUCAUCCUUCCAAAUACUUCUCUUGCCAACAUGACCCGUUGAGUAUUUGGCCAUGAUGAGAUAACCUUUAUUGAUUUUCACCAGCACUUUCACAGCCGCGCUGAAGUCGAUGACCACUGAAGCGCUUCAUGCUAAAGGCCAUCUAUUCUUUUUUCAUUUACAACUCAAGAAGGCUCGGUUGGAUGAAUAAAUAACAUGAUGGCUGUUUUUACAUUUGAAGCCUUUUCUCUAUUCUUUUCUUGUUCGUUGUGUUUCUGUGGAUUAAGUAAUCGCAUUUUUUAAAUUUUUGGGUGAUUUAGUUAUCGAAUUGUAUCUGCGUUUUGAACUUGAGGUAAUCCAAUCCAUUCCGAGUGGUUCUGGCCAUUCAGUUUCCUUAGGACAAAAGAAUUCCUUGCUCUUCAAAAACAUCCACGUUCGGUGGUUUAAAUUCAGUAUCGUUUCCUUUGUAUGUUUCGACUGUACCUGAUAUUGGGUCUAACUUGAUGAGCCCGUUCUGGAUCAUCAAAGAUUUGGAAUCAUCUUCGCGGGUAAACUAUUUAGGAACUGCAGAGUCUGCGAAUAGGCACCUAAAAGAAAUGGACGAUACCUUCUGUGUGGUAGUGUUCAACUGAGUCCCAAAAGUUGUAAUAUGCUUUUUGAUUUUGAAAUCAAACAAACAAAAAUCAAUCUGGUCAAUAGGUAACGACAAAUUCGACAUUUAAAUUGUGAGUCUCCCAUGGACGUUUUGCAAAGGGAAGAGUAGUGAUCGGCAGAUCGGCUGUUUUCGCGGUUACCAAUCACCAAUAAUUCGUAUGGGUUUAGAUGGGAUAGGAUGUUAUUCAAAUGGAAAAUAUGUAUAUUGAGUGGAGAAAAGAGCUGUUUUGAGUUACCCUUUCGAUUGAACUAAUCAACGGAUUCAUAUUUUUGUUCUUUAGAAAGAGGUUUGGAAGAAAGUGAGAUUUUUCGUAAACAAACACAACUAACGUAAAUUUGACAAACAGCUGAAAUUCAGGCG